AGACGUCUACAUUAGAUACCCCGGUAGUCCCAGCCGUAAACUAUGCGCGUUAGGUGUAUCGGUGACCACGAGUCACCGAGGUGCCGAAGGGAAACCGUGAAAUGUGCCGCCUGGGAAGUACGGUCGCAAGGCUGAAACUUAAAGGAAUUGGCGGGGAGCACCACAACGGGUGGAGCCUGCGGUUUAAUUGGACUCAACGCCGGGAAGCUCACCGGAUAAGACAGCGGAAUGAUUGCCGGGCUGAAGACUCUGCAUGACUAGCUG
rnacentral:rRNA from 1 species